UAUACUUGCCGGCGUUAGCUCCUUUCCACAUUAGCCAAGCGGGUGUCGAAAGCGUUGAGCAUUUGGUUAAGGUUGAUAUUCAUAAAUUGCAACUGAUUCAACACUUGGUGCCGAUCUUGACUACCCCAUUCUUGCCCUCUUCUUUCUUUAUUAUCCGAUUUUUCCUCCAUCUCUUCACUCAAUGGCUCUUCUCUAGCCACUCUACUAUGAC
rnacentral:lncRNA from 1 species